rnacentral:rRNA from 1 species
UACGAAGGGGGCUAGCGUUGUUCGGAAUUACUGGGCGUAAAGGGUGCGUAGGCGGCCUAUUAAGUCAGGGGUGAAAGACUGCAGCUUAACUGUAGCAGUGCCUUUGAUACUGAUGGGCUUGAGUACAGAUGAGGCUGGCGGAAUGGGUGGUGUAGCGGUGAAAUGCAUAGAUACCAUCCAGAACACCGAUUGCGAAGGCAGCCGGCUAAACUGUAACUGACGCUGAGGCACGAAAGCGUGGGGAUCGAACAGG